rnacentral:lncRNA from 1 species
ACGGGUAUCUUCCAAGCUUAUAUAAAAGGGUUGCUGAAGAGUAACCUGACAGAAGUUCCUUCGAUCCAAUACGUUUUUCGAUCUCUGAAAACGGUAAUGCAUUAUGAGCAAGUAAUGGAAAACCUGCUGGCUGAGGAACAAUUGGAGUAACAAUGGUUGUUUUUAUGAAAGAGAGUCUGUGUGGAUGAUCUGCCGCUUUGUACAUAUACUUCGGCCUUUCGAUGAGAUAUUUCUGAAUUUUGUAGACUGAUCCCUCUCUGAUUCUUUUCUUAAAUUGGUGUACAAUCUAUGGAGGGAUCACUCCUUCGAUCACUCCUCCCU